AAUUCUUAUUUUCAAUGACGGCCUAGGAACAGUGGGUUAACUGCCUGUUCAGGGGCAGAACGACAGAUUUGUAACUUGUCAGCUCGGGGGUUUGAACUUGCAACCUUCCGGUUACUAGUCCAACGCUCUAACCACUAGGCUACCCUGCCGCCCCAUAUAACAUGGUUAUAUACAGGGAGGUAAUAACAUGGUUAUAUACAGGGAGGUAAUAACAUGGUUAUAUACAGGGAGGUAAUAACAUGGUUAUAUACAGGGAGGUAAUAACAUGGUUAUAUACAGGGAGGUAAUAACAUGGUUAUAUACAGGGAGGUAAUAACAUGGUUAUAUACAGGGAGGUAAUAACAUGGUUAUAUACAGGGAGGUAAUAACAUGGUUAUAUACAGGGAGGUAAUAACAUGGUUAUAUACAGGGAGGUAAUAACAUGGUUAUAUACAGGGAGGUAAUAACAUGGUUAUAUACAGGGAGGUAAUAACAUGGUUAUAUACAGGGAGGUAAUAACAUGGUUAUAUACAGGGAGGUAAUAACAUGGUUAUAUACAGGGAGGUAAUAACAUGGUUAUAUACAGGGAGGUAAUAACAUGGUUAUAUACAGGGAGGUAAUAACAUGGUUAUAUACAGGGAGGUAAUAACAUGGUUAUAUACAGGGAGGUAAUAACAUGGUUAUAUACAGGGAGGUAAUAACAUGGUUAUAUACAGGGAGGUAAUAACAUGGUUAUAUACAGGGAGGUAAUAACAUGGUUAUAUACAGGGAGGUAAUAACAUGGUUAUAUACAGGGAGCACUGGGUAAUAACAUGGUUAUAUACAGGGAGCACUGGGUAAUAACAUGGUUAUAUACAGGGAGUUAUCUCGAAGAAAAAGAAACGCACACCUAUUAAGACGAGGUGCUGGCUAGCGGAGUAGAAAACUGGAAAAUAAGAGAGCCGCACACUCUAGGAGCUCAGAUGCAAAAAUGUAAUUACCAACCAACCAGCCAAGCUGUCUUCAUCAGGGUAUAAUCACAAACACUGCGGGAUGACUCGUUUAUAUAGUGUCAAAAGACACAGGUGUCUAAUCAUGGCCAAGAGUGGCCUAAUAUCAUUGGUUAAUAAUCAAAUAUUAAAAUGUCAUAAAUAACAGCAUACAAACAACAAAUGGAUAACAUACGAUCAUAGAUUAAUUUGACUACACAAGCUUACAAACAAUUACAAUGGCAAAGUCACAAUAAUCACAAGAAUGGCUUCAGAUCAAAGUCUACGUUGAGACCGAAGGGCGCAAGGGUCUUUAAAUUAAAGAUCCAGGCAGCCUCUCGUUUUAACAAUAAAUUAUCAAGGUCAUCCCCUCUCCUUGGGAGUGUGACAUGUUCGAUGCCAAUAUAACGCAGGGACGAAAUCGAGUGGCCUGCCUCCAAGAAGUGGGCCGCAAUUGGGUAAGUCAAGUUUUUACACCUAAUGGUGCUACGAUGCUCUGAGAUACGUACUUUUAAUUCGCGCUUUGUUUUACCUACAUUAUUUUUAGCACAAGGACAAAUUAUAAGAUAAAUAACUGCCUUAGUGGAGCACGUAAUAACACCUUUUAUUGGGAUCGAUUUCCCUGUUUGUGGGUGUUUGAAGGAUCUACAUUUAUAAGUGCCAUUGCAUUGAGCACAGCCAUUACAUUUGUAAUUUCCAUCCAGUAGGGGCGCAAAUAGACGUUGUUCAGGAUGU